CGGAGUCACAGUGACUGCUGCCUGACUGAACGCCUCCUAAGAGAUGCCAGAUGCCCGCCUGAAGGACCACCUCGGGAGGCAGAGCAGCUCUCACCUGGACUACAAGGCACAGGCACGAGGCCAGGUCCUGAUGCCCUUGCAGCCCCCACGCCCACGCUGGACUGGACUCGCUAGGACUGUGGGGUAGACCAACGUUCUGCCUCCUGCCUACAUUGGAGUAGUCUUCAUCAUGACAAUUUAUCAGGCCUGUCUCUUCUUUACUAUUUUUGUCUCAAUUUAAGUCUUCUGAAUUUGUCCUCUAGGGUUCUGUAAAUGGCCUCAACACUGUCCUUUCUCCCCCCACAGUUCUCUCCCUUCUCUAUUUUUUAUCUGCACUCCAUUGCCAAAAUAAACUAGAAAGAGCACGAGUCAGGUCAUAGGACUGAAUAGUGGAGUCAGAACCACAAUUCACAUCUAUCUUGAUCCAGAGGUAGGAAUCUGGGAGAUGCUGAGCACAGCUAGCAACAAAGGAGGAGAAGGGGCCGACUCCGUUCAGAUGACAGACCAGAAGGGCACAAGGCCGAGAGGACUUUGAUGAAGCAAUGCUCAAAUCAAUAAAAUAUGGAGAAAACUCAUCUUCGCUUUGCUGGAAACCACAGAGAUGUCCAACCCAUUUAUGCAACUUUUUUUUUUUUUGAGAAGAAGGAAGAAGAAAUGUAUUACUUUGGUGCUAAAGGUCCCGAGGAACAACAUCUACUUUGGGGAGACAGAAGCAAGUGUGCUCCUGAGCAAACAGGCCCUGGCAGCUGCUGAGACUGUCUCGUAUCCUGUCACCCUGAGAAGGAGCUGCUGCUCCUAGUGCAGACCCAAGGCUCUGGCUGGCCCAGGCUGCUCCCUGCUGCUUUGGCAGGUGCCAUUCCACUGGGAAGCCAAGGAGCUUGCCCAGGGAAGGUCAGAAUCUGUUACCAAAACUUUAGUACCAGUUCUGGAGGCUGGAUCAGAAAGAACAAGAACAAGUGGUUUCUGAGAAGAAGAAAAGGGAAAUUUAUUAUUUUCCAGCAAAGAAGGGAAAAUAGCAGACCAUUCAUCUCAAAAUACUUCUUUCUCCUCCCAUUUACCUGAUUUUGAAACUAGCAGAAUACAGGAGACAUUUGAGUGUUGUCAAAGAUCAGCAAACCCCAGUCAGUAAAGUGGUGAGGACAGAGUCCCCUCUGUAACACUUCUGUGGUAGGGAAGAGGGCUCAGCAUGAAUGGCACUCGACUUCCCCAAAACAAACAGCUGAAGAAUUUCUUUCUUUUUUUUUUUUUAAUUCCUCUUUCUUCCCCCCUGCCUUUUCUUUCUACACAAGAUUAACAUGGCUUAGUUUAUGCUGCUUGUACUUUUCUUUUUUUUAACUUAAUUUUUAUUAAAGCAUAACUGUAUAUACAUUUACAGGGUGCA